CCUACGGGGAGCUGCAGUAGGGAAUAUUGCUCAAUGGGGGAAACCCUGAAGCAGCAACGCCGCGUGGAGGAUGAAGGUUUUCGGAUUGUUAACUCCUUUUGUUAGAGAAGAUAAUGACGGUAUCUAACGAAUAAGCACCGGCUAACUCCGUGCCAGCAGCCGCGGUAAUACGGAGGGUGCAAGCGUUACUCGGAAUCACUGGGCGUAAAGAGCGCGUAGGCGGGAUAGCAAGUCAGAUGUGAAAUCCUAUGGCUUAACCAUAGAACUGCAUUUGAAACUGUUAUUCUAGAGUAUGGGAGAGGUAGGUGGAAUUCUUGGUGUAGGGGUAAAAUCCGUAGAGAUCAAGAGGAAUACUCAUUGCGAAGGCGACCUGCUAGAACAUAACUGACGCUGAUGCGCGAAAGCGUGGGGAGCAAACAGGAUUAGAUACCCCUGUAGUC
rnacentral:rRNA from 1 species